rnacentral:rRNA from 1 species
UAUGAAUUUAAUUAUAUUUGUGUGUUAUGUUUAUUUUAUUUAUUUAUAAAAUAUUAUUUGGUUGAAGUGGUCUGUAUAGGGAAAAAAUUUAAUUUAUUAUAGUGGAUUUGUACUGUGAAGGGCAUAAUUUAUAUUAUAUUUAGUUUAUUUUAUUUGUUGUACCUUGUGUAUCAGGGUUGAUUAAUAUUUAGAUAUGUAAUUGUUUUUCUCGAAAGUAGGAGAGCUAAAUAAUUAAUUUAUUUAUUGUGACAUAAAUAUUAAUAAUGGUUAUUUUGUAGUGAAAUGUUAUUCGUUCUUAUAUAUCUAGUUUUUUAAGAAAUAAAUUUAAUUUAGUUUCUAAUUUAUAACUUUUUUAUUUUUAAAUAGGGUUUAAGUUGGUAAUAAUGCUUUGAGGGAUAAUCUUUGAAGUUGAUUAAUUAAUGAGUGUCAUAUUUAUUUGAGUAUUAUUGAUUUAGAAUUAGUUAUUGUUAUGAGUAUGUUGUAAUUUUACUUUGUUUAUUUAAUUAUUUAUGUUUAUUCUUAAUUUUUAUUAGAAAUUUUUAUUUAAUUUUUUAUUAAUUGUUAUUAUGAUUGAAUUAGUAUAAAGUGUUGUUGUAAAUAUAUAGAUAUUAUAAGUUGUUUUAAGGAACUAGGCAAAAAUUUUGUAUUCACUUGUUUAACAAAAACAUCUUUCCUUGAUUAUUAUUGGGAGUAUGACCUGCCCACUGAGAUUUUGAAGGGCCGCGGUAAUUUGACCGUGCAAAGGUAGCAUAAUCAUUAGUUUCUUAAUUAGGAACUGGAAUGAAUGGUCGGAUGAAAUACAAGCUGUCUUUAUAUUAUUUUUUGAAUUUAAUUUUUAGGUCAAAAAGCUUAAAUAUUUUUAUGGGACGAGAAGACCCUAUAGAAUUUGAUAAUUUUAAUUAUAGGUUUUGUUUGAUAUGAGUUAAUAUGAUUUAAAUUAUUUUGUUGGGGUGAUGGGAAGAUAAAUAUAACUCUUUUAUUUAGUUUAUAUUGAUUAAUAUGUAGGUGAUCCAUUAGUAAUGAUUAUAAGAUUAAAUUACCUUAGGGAUAACAGCGUAAUCUUUUUUGAGAGUUCAUAUCGACGAGAAGGGUUGCGACCUCGAUGUUGGAUUAAGAAUAAUAUUUGGUGUAGAGUUUAAAUUGUUAGGUCUGUUCGACCUUUAAAAUCUUACAUGAUCUGAGUUCAAACCGGCGUGAGCCAGGUUGGUUUCUAUCUAUAAUUUUUUAUAAUAUUUUAGUACGAGAGGACCAGGUAUUAGAAAUAAUUUUAUUUAUUUUGUUUAUUAUUAAAAU